CUGGUGCCAGCAGCCGCGGUAAUUCCAGCUCCAAUAGCGUAUAUUAAAGUUGUUGCAGUUAAAAAGCUCGUAGUUGAAUUUCGGGGUUAGUAGGUUGGUCAUGCCUCUGGUAUGUACUGGUCUCACUGAUUCCUCCUUCCUGAUGAACCGUAAUGCCAUUAAUUUGGUGUUGCGGGGAAUUUGGACUGUUACUUUGAAAAAUUAGAGUGUUUAAAGCAAGCUAACGCUUGAAUACAUUAGCAUGGAAUAAUGAAAUAGGACGUUCGAUCCUAUUUUGUUGGUUUCUAGGGAUUGACGUAAUGAUUAAUAGGGAUAGUUGGGGGCAUUAGUAUUCAAUUGUCAGAGGUGAAAUUCUUGGAUUUAUUGAAGACUAACUACUGCGAAAGCAUUUGCCAAGGAUGUUUUCAUUAAUCAAGAACGAAAGUUAGGGGAUCGAAGACGAUCAGAUACCGUCGUAGUCUUAACCAUAAACUAUGCCGACUAGGGAUCGGAUGAUGUUAAUUUUUUAAUGACUCAUUCGGCGCCUUACG
rnacentral:rRNA from 1 species